rnacentral:rRNA from 1 species
GUAGCAAUACUAAUUGAUGGCGAGCGGCGGACGGGUGAGUAAUGCGUAGGGAUCUGCCUUUGGGAGGGGGACAACUCGGGGAAACUCGAGCUAAUACCGCGUAAUGUCUACGGACUAAAGUGGGGGAUCUUCGGACCUCACGCCUAAAGAGGAGCCUACGUCGGAUUAGCUAGUUGGUGAGGUAAAGGCUCACCAAGGCGAUGAUCCGUAGCUGGUUUGAGAGGAUGACCAGCCACACUGGGACUGAGACACGGCCCAGACUCCUACGGGAGGCAGCAGUGGGGAAUAUUGGACAAUGGGGGCAACCCUGAUCCAGCGAUGCCGCGUGUGUGAAGAAGGCCUGAGGGUUGUAAAGCACUUUUAGUUAAGAAGAAAGAGUCCAUGUGAAUAAUGUGGAAAGAUGACGUUAUUAACAGAAAAAGCACCGGCUAACUCUGUGCCAGCAGCCGCGGUAAUACAGAGGGUGCGAGCGUUAAUCGGAAUUACUGGGCGUAAAGCGCGCGUAGGCGGCUAAACCAGUUGGGUGUGAAAGCCCCGGGCUCAACCUGGGAACGGCACUCAAAACUGUUUGGCUAGAGUACAGCAGAGGUAAGUGGAAUUUCCGGUGUAGCAGUGAAAUGCGUAGAGAUCGGAAGGAACACCAGUGGCGAAGGCGGCUUACUGGGCUGAUACUGACGCUGAGGCGCGAAGGCGUGGGGAG